CUUUCUUUUAGUUAUGAGCGUGAUUUUGCUAAGCAUAAAAGUUCAGUUAUAAUGAAAAAAGCAAAUUUUAGAAAAAAAAAAAAAGCAUUUAGCUGAUGCUUAACCUUUCUCUCUUUAAUGUAGAAAACGAAAAGAACACAGGCAAAGUGUUGUGUUCUUUCCGUGAUAUUGUGUGGCAUUUGAGUUUGUUUGAAGAUCCAGUCAUAGGUUGUAUUGCCAAUGCCAUGUUUUCAUGUUUCACUUUCCUUUUUCUAACGAAUGCACCAAACAUGGC
rnacentral:lncRNA from 1 species